rfam:Oryza barthii chromosome 10, whole genome shotgun sequence.
GACUCCAUGGCCCAAUGGACAAGGCGCUGGUCUACGGAACCAGAGGUUCUUGGUUCGAUCCCCAGUCGAGUCG